ensembl:lncRNA
ACACCAAGCCUAGCAAGCGGAGUUUACUGAAAGAAUGAUCCAGUCUCGCUUUCUGUGGACAAAUGGGGAGACUGAGGCCCAGACAAGGGAGAGACCACUCCAAAUCAUACAGAGCUUCACAGUGGAUAACAGACUUAUUUAGACCACAGAGAAGACUGCAGAGUAGGGCUGCUGGGGACACGGAGGGAACACGGGCCUCCAGGCCUCCGUAGCUGUGCCCACUCUAGCCUUUGAUCUACUCACUGCCAGCUCUGCCUUCUGUCAGCUCCCGGAACAGCACAGCCACGCACUUGUCUUCAGGGGCUAUGGGUCUCUUGGCUCCUCCUGGACCCUAGUGCAGAGACUUAAAGAGGUCCUGCCUCCUUCCAGGACAGCUCUGCCGCAGUACAAGGAGAGUCUGGCUAACCCAGCUUCCGGCUCGGAUCUUCCUGAAGCUUUCUCAAUGAGACCAAGCAAGACUUAGCAGCCAGGCUUGGGUAGGGCAAACAACCUGCUUUCAGGGAAAGCAGGCUUCCCGGAAGACAGGAGGUACAAUCCUGGGAGUCUAGAGGAGUCGACUAGAGCCUUCCCAGUCUCAGGCUGGGAGUGAAUUGCGCUAUUCUUUUUUGGGCUGCCAGCCAGAGGGAAAAACCAGUUUGUGAAGAAAAGUGUCCCGGGCUAUGGAGCCAGCUGGACCAUAGCCAGCCUGGUCCAGACUCCAGAGACUGCAGCUGCUGCACCAGAAGACCUCGUACUCUCUCCUGCUGUCCACUAGAGCAAGGUUGGAAUGGUCCUCUGGUCACCAUGGCAUCCACCAGUAGCCUCAGUUCCAGAUCUUGAGGAAGCUGUCCUGGGACCCUGUUGCUACAGCCAUGCCAUCACUAGUCACUCCCAGGCAACAGACAUGGUUGUGGUGUCCUGCUCUGUCAGCCUUCCAGACACUGCAGGUGAAGUCAUCGUUCUAUCCAGCAAGAAGGAGGUGGUGGCCACUAUUAGGGAAGAAUACAGAUGUGAUCCCACAGAUGAUGUCAUGGGAGUAGGUCAUGAGCUGCAUGGAUGUCAAACAGCCUGCACACAACCUCAUCUGGGCCAGUGGCAAAGGCACUGCCACUGGAAAAGAAACAGAUGGCAUUGAUGUGAGACUCACGGAAGGUCUGCCCGCACAUCUCUUCUCAGACAUCCCAGGGCUUGGCUGAACCGUCGUUGCAAGCACCAGAGACAAACAGUCUGGUGUCAGG